GCGGGUGUAGCUCAGCUGGCUAGAGCGCAACCUUGCCAAGGUUGAAGUCGAGGGUUCGAAUCCCUUCACCCGCUCCA
rnacentral:tRNA from 1 species